AUACAAUAAGCGGAGGAAAAGAAACCAACAGGGAUUGCCCCAGUAACGGCGAGUGAAGCGGCAACAGCUCAAAUUUGAAAUCUGGCCCCCGGGUCCGAGUUGUAAUUUGUAGAGGAUGCUUUUGGCGAGGUGCCUUCCGAGUUCCCUGGAACGGGACGCCAUAGAGGGUGAGAGCCCCGUCUGGUCGGACACCGAGCCUCUGUAAAGCUCCUUCGACGAGUCGAGUAGUUUGGGAAUGCUGCUCAAAAUGGGAGGUAUAUGUCUUCUAAAGCUAAAUAUUGGCCAGAGACCGAUAGCGCACAAGUAGAGUGAUCGAAAGAUGAAAAGCACUUUGAAAAGAGGGUUAAAAAGUACGUGAAAUUGUUGAAAGGGAAGCGCCUAUGACCAGACUUGGGCCCGGUGAAUCAUCCAGCGUUCUCGCUGGUGCACUUUGCCGGGCACAGGCCAGCAUCAGUUUGGCGCGGGGGAGAAAGGCUCUGGGAAUGUGGCUCCUCCGGGAGUGUUAUAGCCCACUGCGUAAUACCCUGCGCCGGACUGAGGUACGCGCAUUGCAAGGAUGCUGGCGUAAUGGUCAUCAGCGACCCGUCUUGAAACACGGACCAAGGAGUCGUCUUCGUAUGCGAGUGUUCGGGUGUCAAACCCCUACGCGUAAUGAAAGUGAACGCAGGUGAGAGCUUCGGCGCAUCAUCGACCGAUCCUGAUGUUCUCGGAUGGAUUUGAGUAAGAGCAUACGGGGCCGGACCCGAAAGAAGGUGAACUAUGCCUGUAUAGGGUGAAGCCAGAGGAAACUCUGGUGGAGGCUCGCAGCGGUUCUGACGUGCGAAUCGAUCGUCAAAUAUGGGCAUGGGGGCGAAAGACUAAUCGAACCUUCUAGUAGC
rnacentral:rRNA from 1 species